rfam:Streptomyces silvensis strain ATCC 53525 53525_Assembly_Contig_54, whole genome shotgun sequence.
GGGGAAUCUGGUGCGAAUCCAGAGCUGACGCGCAGCGGUGUGGUCCGGCGAGGUGCCGGGCCGAGCCCGAAUGCCC